UGGGGAAUUUUGGACAAUGGGCGAAAGCCUGAUCCAGCCAUGCCGCGUGAGUGAAGAAGGCCUUCGGGUUGUAAAGCUCUUUUAGUCGGAAAGAAAGAGUUGCAAUGAAUAAUUGUGAUUUAUGACGGUACCGACAGAAAAAGCACCGGCUAACUACGUGCCAGCAGCCGCGGUAAUACGUAGGGUGCGAGCGUUAAUCGGAAUUACUGGGCGUAAAGGGUGCGCAGGCGGUCUUGCAAGUCAGAUGCGAAAGCCCCGGGCUUAACCUGGGAAUUGCGUUUGAAACUACAAGACUAGAGUGCAGCAGAGGGGAGUGGAAUUCCAUGUGUAGCAGUGAAAUGCGUAGAGAUGUGGAAGAACACCGAUGGCGAAGGCAGCUCCCUGGGUUGACACUGACGCUCAUGCACGAAAGCGUGGGGAGCAAACA
rnacentral:rRNA from 1 species